GCUGGGCAUGGUGGCGCGUGCCUGUAAUCCCAGCUACUUGGGAAGCUGAGGCAGGAGAAUCACUUGAGCCUGGGAGGUGGAUGUUGCAGUGAGCUGAGAUAGCACCACUGCACUCCAGCCUGGGUGACAGAGCGAGACUCUGUCUCAG
rnacentral:SRP_RNA from 2 species